GACGAACGCUGGCGGCGUGCUUAACACAUGCAAGUCGAACGGUGACGCGCCUUCCUUUUUGGUGGGUGUGGAUGAGUGGCGAACGGGUGAGUAACACGUGAGUAACCUGCCCCCUUCUUCUGGAUAACCGCAUGAAAGUGUGGCUAAUACGGGAUAUUCUGGGUCUGUCGCAUGAUGGGUCUGGGAAAGAUAUUGUUUCGGUGGGGGAUGGGCUCGCGGCCUAUCUGGUUGUUGGUGGGGUGAUGGCCUACCAAGGCGGUGACGGGUAGCCGGCCUGGGGGGAUCGACGGUCACGGUGGGGCGGCAACGCGGACCCGACUACUGCGGGAGGCAGCAGGGAAGAUUCCUGCACGGUGGGCAGAAGGAUGGUGCAGCGCCGCCGCGGGGGGGAUGGUGUCCUGCGGGUUGUGAACCGCUUUCGGCAGUGAAGCAGGCCUGCCUCGUUUGUGGGUGGGUUGACGGUAGCUGGAUAAGAAGCGCCGGCUAACUACGUG
rnacentral:rRNA from 1 species